AGGCAAAUGGAUGACACUAGAAGAAACCAUCCUGACUGAGAAUGUGGUUCUCCUGACCCAUCAGCUGCCAUCUUCAUCGGAUCAGUUGUUCCUGCAUUCACAAAAGAGACUCUCAAGUUAAGACUGUGGACUAUUGAUCUUCCCUUAGAGAAGCAAGGACAGAGGAGAGCAACUUAUCAAGCAUGUGAGGAGCCGCCCUCGCUAUCGCUAUUGCCGUUAGAAGAUGGCGCUGACAUCUGCUGUCAGUUGGAGUUAACCGUUAGAAGAUGGCGCUGACAUCUGCUGUCAGUUGGAGUUAACCG